AGGAUAAAAACUGGGGGGUAUUAGAAGUCAAGAAAAUAAUAGAUGCGUCGGCAUUUAUAGUUUUCGAACACGGACAAAACCAACUCCAGAUGUAUAGAGUUCAGAUCGUCCACAACCUUUCGGUUGGAUCGGAGCUCGAAGUUGGA
rfam:Marine metagenome ctg_1101668713857, whole genome shotgun sequence.